GGACCUCCCACGCCGAGCUCAGAUUGAGCGCAGACCUAACGGCGCUCUGAACGGCCCUAAACGUUUGCUAGGCUUAGAGCCGGAUGCCACGUAGUUCUCCUCUCUGGGUUUCUCAGGGGUCCUUUUCCGUACCCUCCCGCGACUCCGCCUCUGGCCGCGCGUGUCUGGCUGCUAGACCGACACCAAGGACUGGCCGGGUACCCGGGAAGAAAGCACGUGCUCCAGCAGUUGCCGCGCCGCGCGUCUGCCAGUCAGUCCCGCGCCCAGCCCCGAGAGAGGCCCUAGGGCGCUGCGGGCUUUCGGGGUCCGCAGUCCCCCCGCGACGCUAGCCAACGGGAGGCGUCAAAAGACCCGGGCCUUCUGUGGCAGGCACGCCUGGCGCUGGCUGGCGUGGCCCUUGGCCGUCGUCACCUGUGGAGAGCACGUCUUCCCCGCCGCGCCCUCUGCGCGAGGAGGAGACUCGACAGCAUGUCACCCGCGCUCCAAGACCUGUCGCAACCCGCAGGUCUGAAGAAAACCCUGCGGGAUGAGAUCGAUGCCAUUCUGCGGAAGAGGAUUAUGGUGCUGGAUGGAGGGAUGGGGACCAUGAUCCAGCGGCAGAAGCUAAACGAAGAACACUUCCGAGGUCAGGAAUUUAAAGAUCAUGCCAGGCCACUGAAAGGCAACAAUGACAUUUUAAGUAUAACUCGGCCCGAUGUCAUUUACCAAAUCCAUAAGGAAUACUUGCUGGCUGGGGCAGAUAUCAUUGAAACAAAUACUUUUAGCAGCACUAGUAUUGCCCAAGCUGACUAUGGCCUUGAACACUUGGCCUACCAGAUGAACAAGUGCUCUGCAGGAGUGGCCAGAAAAGCUGCCGAGGAGAUAACUCUCCAGACAGGAAUUAAGAGGUUUGUGGCAGGGGCUCUGGGUCCGACUAAUAAGACACUCUCUGUGUCCCCAUCCGUGGAAAGACCGGAUUAUAGGAACAUCACGUUUGAUGAGCUUGUUGAAGCAUACCAAGAGCAGGCCAAAGGACUUCUGGAUGGCGGGGUUGAUAUCUUACUCAUUGAAACUAUUUUUGAUACUGCCAAUGCCAAGGCAGCCUUGUUUGCACUCCAAAACCUUUUUGAGGAGAAAUAUGCUCCCCGGCCUAUCUUUAUUUCAGGGACAAUUGUUGAUAAAAGUGGGCGGACUCUUUCUGGACAGACAGGAGAGGGAUUUGUCGUCAGCGUGUCUCAUGGAGAACCACUCUGCAUUGGAUUAAAUUGUGCUUUGGGUGCAGCUGAAAUGAGACCUUUUAUUGAAAUAAUUGGAAAAUGUACAACAGCCUAUGUCCUCUGUUAUCCCAAUGCAGGUCUUCCCAACACCUUUGGUGACUAUGAUGAAACGCCUUCUGUGAUGGCCAAGCACCUAAAGGAUUUUGCUAUGGAUGGCUUGGUCAAUAUAGUUGGAGGAUGUUGUGGGUCAACACCAGAUCAUAUCAGGGAAAUUGCUGAAGCUGUGAAAAAUUGUAAGCCUAGAGUUCCACCUGCCACUGUUUUUGAAGGACAUAUGUUACUGUCUGGUCUAGAGCCCUUCAGGAUUGGACCGUACACCAACUUCGUUAACAUUGGAGAGCGCUGUAAUGUUGCAGGAUCAAGGAAGUUUGCUAAACUCAUCAUGGCAGGAAACUAUGAAGAAGCCUUGUGUGUUGCCAAAGUGCAGGUGGAAAUGGGAGCCCAGGUGCUGGAUGUCAACAUGGAUGAUGGCAUGCUAGAUGGUCCAAGUGCAAUGACCAGAUUUUGCAACUUAAUUGCUUCCGAGCCAGACAUCGCAAAGGUACCUUUGUGCAUUGACUCCUCCAAUUUUGCUGUGAUUGAAGCUGGGUUGAAGUGCUGCCAAGGGAAGUGCAUUGUCAAUAGCAUUAGUCUGAAGGAAGGAGAGGACGACUUCUUGGAGAAGGCCAGGAAGAUUAAAAAGUAUGGAGCUGCUGUGGUGGUCAUGGCUUUUGAUGAAGAAGGACAGGCAACAGAAACAGACACGAAAAUCAGAGUGUGCACCCGGGCCUACCAUCUGCUUGUGAAAAAACUGGGCUUUAAUCCAAAUGACAUCAUUUUUGACCCUAAUAUCCUAACCAUUGGGACUGGAAUGGAAGAACACAACUUGUAUGCCAUUAAUUUUAUCCAUGCAACAAAAGUCAUUAAAGAAACAUUACCUGGAGCCAGAAUAAGUGGAGGUCUUUCCAACUUGUCCUUCUCCUUCCGAGGAAUGGAAGCCAUUCGUGAAGCAAUGCAUGGGGUUUUCCUUUACCAUGCAAUCAAGUCUGGCAUGGACAUGGGGAUAGUGAAUGCUGGAAACCUCCCUGUGUAUGAUGAUAUCCAUAAGGAACUUCUGCAGCUCUGUGAAGAUCUCAUCUGGAAUAAAGACCCUGAGGCCACUGAGAAGCUCUUACGUUAUGCCCAGACUCAAGGCACAGGAGGGAAGAAAGUCAUUCAGACUGAUGAGUGGAGAAAUGGCCCUGUCGAAGAACGCCUUGAGUAUGCCCUUGUGAAGGGCAUUGAAAAACAUAUUAUUGAGGAUACUGAGGAAGCCAGGUUAAACCAAGAAAAAUAUCCCCGACCUCUCAAUAUAAUUGAAGGACCCCUGAUGAAUGGAAUGAAAAUUGUUGGUGAUCUUUUUGGAGCUGGAAAAAUGUUUCUACCUCAGGUUAUAAAGUCAGCCCGGGUUAUGAAGAAGGCUGUUGGCCACCUUAUCCCGUUCAUGGAAAAAGAAAGAGAAGAAACCAGAGUGCUUAACGGCACAGUAGAAGAAGAGGACCCUUACCAGGGCACCAUCGUGCUGGCCACUGUUAAAGGCGACGUGCACGACAUAGGCAAGAACAUAGUUGGAGUAGUCCUUGGCUGCAAUAAUUUCCGAGUUAUUGAUUUAGGAGUCAUGACUCCAUGUGAUAAGAUACUGAAAGCUGCUCUUGACCACAAAGCAGAUAUAAUUGGCCUCUCAGGACUCAUCACUCCUUCCCUGGAUGAAAUGAUUUUUGUUGCCAAGGAAAUGGAGAGAUUAGCUAUAAAGAUUCCAUUGUUGAUUGGAGGAGCAACCACUUCAAAAACCCACACAGCAGUUAAAAUAGCUCCGAGAUACAGUGCACCUGUAAUCCAUGUCCUGGACGCGUCCAAGAGUGUGGUGGUGUGUUCUCAGCUGUUAGAUGAAAAUCUAAAGGAUGAAUACUUUGAGGAAAUCAUGGAAGAAUAUGAAGAUAUUCGACAGGACCAUUAUGAGUCUCUCAAGGAGAGGAGAUACUUACCCUUAAGUCAAGCCAGAAAAAGUGGUUUCCAAAUGGAUUGGCUGUCUGAACCUCACCCAGUGAGGCCCAUGUUUAUUGGGACCCAGGUCUUUGAAGACUAUGACCUGCAGAAGCUGCUGGACUACAUUGACUGGAAGCCUUUCUUUGAUGUCUGGCAGCUCCGGGGCAAGUACCCGAAUCGAGGCUUUCCCAAGAUAUUUAACGACAAAACUGUAGGUGGAGAGGCCAAAAAGGUCUACGAUGAUGCCCACAAUAUGCUGAACACACUGAUUAGUCAAAAGAAACUCCGAGCCCGGGGUGUGGUUGGGUUCUGGCCAGCACAGAGUAUCCAAGACGACAUUCACCUGUAUGCAGAGGGUGCUGUACCCCAGGCUGCAGAGCCCAUAGCCACCUUCUAUGGGUUAAGGCAACAGGCCGAGAAGGACUCUGCCAGCACGGAGCCAUACUACUGCCUCUCAGACUUCAUCGCUCCCUUGCAUUCUGGCAUCCGUGACUACCUGGGCCUGUUUGCCGUUGCCUGCUUUGGGGUAGAAGAGCUGAGCAAGGCCUAUGAGGAUGAUGGUGAUGACUACAGCAGCAUCAUGGUCAAGGCACUGGGGGACCGGCUGGCAGAGGCCUUUGCAGAAGAGCUCCAUGAAAGAGUUCGCCGAGAAUUGUGGGCCUACUGUGGCAGUGAGCAGCUGGAUGUUGCAGACCUGCGCAGGCUGCGGUACAAGGGCAUCCGCCCGGCUCCCGGCUACCCCAGCCAGCCCGACCACACCGAGAAGCUCACCAUGUGGAGACUCGCAGACAUCGAGCAGUCUACGGGACCUCCAGUUUUAGACUUCAUCAAGCAAGCCUGGUUUCAUUUCUUCUUGCUUAACCUGAUGAACCAGUGUGCUGUGCACCACUGUUGGAAACACUGGUACGAAGUCCUGGUACAGAACUCUUUCUGAAUAUUAAUCUCUGUAUUGCUACGCCAGAAUCAGAACUGAAGAUGAAAUAAAGGCUUUUCAUACCAACAAAAGUGGAAAGAAUUCAUCAUAAGAAGACCUGCAUGAGAAGAAAUGCUAGGAAAGCUCAAGUAGAAGAAAAUGAUACCAGAUGGAAAUCUGGAUCUCCACGAAGGAACAAAAAGUAUUGAGAAUGGGAACCAUCCUAUGUGGACUUUAUUCAUAAUAACCAAUCCUGAGGAAAAGCUAUAAUGUUCGUCAAAAGAAGGAAAUCCUGGCUGUGCCUAUAAUCACAGCAUUCUUGGAGGCCAAGGCAGGAGGAUCACUUGAGCCCAGGAGUUCAAGACCAGCCUGUACAACAUAGUGAAAUAUUGUCUCUACAAUUUUUUUUUUUUAAUUAGCGGGGUGUGUUGACACACACCUGUGGUCCCAGCUACAUGGAAGGCUGAGGUGGAGGAUUGCUUGAGCACAGGAGGUCAAGGCUGCAGUGGUUUAUGACCAUGCCAGUCCACUCCAGCCUGGGUGACAGAGCAAGACCCAGUCUCAAAAGAAAAAAGAAGGAAAUCCUGUCAUUCAUGACAUCAUGGAUGAAACUUCAGGGCAUUAUGCUAAGUGAAAUAAGCCAGUUAUAGAAAGACAAAUACUGCAUGAUCUCACUUAGAUGUGUGAUAUGGUCAGUGUUCCCACCCAAAUCGCAUCUUGAGUUGAAAUUCCCAUGUGUUGGGGGAGGGACCUCAUGGGAGGUGACUGAAUCAUGGGGCGGUUCCUCUGUGCUGUUCUCAUGAUAGUGAGUGAGUUCUCAUGAAAUCUGAUGGUUUUGUGAGGGGCUUUUCACCCCUUCGAUCUGCACUUCUCUCAAUCUUCUCCUCCUUGCUGCCGUGUGAAGAAAGACAUGUUUGCUUCCCCUUCUGCCAUGAUUGUAAGUUUUCUGAGGCCAAGCCCUGGGGAACUGUGAGUCAAUUAAACCUCUUUCCUAUAUAAAUUACCCAGUCUCGGGUGUUUCUUCAUAGCUGCGUGAGAACAGACUAAUACAACGUGGAAUCUAAAAGAGUCAAGUACAUAGAAACAGUAGCAUGAUGGUUGCCAGAGGCUGCAGGGAGGAGGAAAUGGGGAGCUGUUCAACAGGUGGAGCUCCAGUUAAGCAGGAUGAUUGUGCUCUAGCGAUCUGCUGUAUAAUGUAAUGACUAUAGUUAGCAAUACUACAUUGUACACUCAACAGUUUGAGGGUGGAUCUCAUGGUAAGUGUUCUUACCACAAAAAAACAAAACCAAUGUCCAUUGACAGGAAAAUGGGUAAACAAUUCAUGGAAUAUUCAUACCCUGGAAUACUAUUCAGCAGUAAAAGGAAUGAACUACUGAUCUAGGCCCAACAGUAUGAACAAAUGUCAAACUCACUCUGUUGGGCAAAAGAGCCCAAAUGUAGAAGAACACAUAAUUUCAUGAUUUCAUUUAUAUGAAGUACAAGAAUAGGCUGAAGUAAAGUCAGAUGCGGUGGCUUAUGCCUGUAAUCUCAGCACUUUGGGAGGCCAAGGUAGGGGAAUUGCUUGAGGCCAGGAGUUCAAGACCAGCCAGAGCAACAUAGUGAGACCCUGCCUCUACAAAAGUUUAAAAAAUAACCAGGCAUGAUGGUGUGUGCCUAUAAUUCUAGCUACUCUGAAGGCUGAGGCAGGAGGAUUUCUUGAGCCCAGGAGUUCAAGGCUGCAGUGAGCCAGGAUUGUGCCACUGCACUCCAACCAGGGUGACAGAGCUAGACCCUGUCUCUAAGGAAAAAAAAAAAAAAAGAAUAGGCUGAAGUAUUCUACAGUGAUAGACUUCAGAACGGUUAUCUGUGGGAGUUGGGGACUGACUGGAAGAGGACAUAAGAGCAAUUUUGGGGAUAAUAGAAAUGUUCCAUGUAUCUUGGUUGCAGUAAUAAUUCUAUGAGGUAUAUAUUUAUCAAACCUCAAUGAAUUGUACACCUAAGAUAUAUGCAUUGCACUGUAUGCAAAUUUAACCUCAAGAAGAAAAAUAAUUUCAACAAUAUCAAACUCUAGUUAAUAGGCUUGCUUUUCUCAGUGGCUUGGCUUAGCAAUUCUAAAACUAUUAUAGAUAUUUCUCACUGUUGGAGAAAGUAGUUACAAACAUGGAAAGGAGAAAAGACCAUUGCCAAAGCCAGGAUUCUCUGGUAUUUUUUUUUAAUCCGAAUUUCUUAAAAAAUUCUAGGAUUUGGAAACAUUCUGGAUAAAUGGGAAUUCAUUGUAAAAAUAGAUUAGAACCUUAAUACUUACAUCUUUGAUAUGUCAGUUCUCACUUAACAUUAAUUUCAAGACCAUAUCCUAGAUGUCUAAUAGAUUUUGCUUUACUUUGGAGUUUCCAAAGAAUGCCUUUUAGAAAUCCUUUCCUAUAAAAAGAAACACUGGUUUUUCAAAAUAUGUACAUAGAACAAAAGGACUUCCCUGUCAAAAUAGGCAGGGUCCUCGGUGAGACCUAAAUAUUCUGCUGUUUCCACUUUAAGCCUCUUAGCUGUGUUUCUGUUUCUAUAGAGCAAGAGCAGAUCCCAGAAAAGUAAUUUUUCUUCUUUUGUUGAAACUUCUUUAUCUGGCAGAAAAUGGUAACUCAUCAAACCUGCAGCAGAAGGCAACUUUUCAACUCUCAGUCAAUUUGAUCAACAUUCAGCAUCCAUCAAAUGAAGGAUUGGGAGUGAUAACCUUAAAAAAUCCUGCUAGGCUACUGGUUAUUGAUUCUCUGUUCAGCCUGAUGGAUGAAGAUGCGAAGGCAACAAGCGAAAAUGCAAACCUGGCUGCCGGCCUCCUUCAUGCCAUGUUAGGUUAGGCAGGACUUGUGUCUGAAAAGCACCAUUGUUGGUUUUACCAAAAAUGCACUGCCGUCAUCACGACCAAUCAGAAUGUCACCCUAGCUGGAGAUCUGCUCCUCCUGGCCUUUCCUUGGGAUUUUCAGAAAAGCUCAGAAAACAAUUUACAAUAAAACUUAAUUACUUUUAGCCUGGCUGUUUGCGAUCCACUAUGAUUGGAAAUGGGAUGACAUGUGCGAUUUAUGCUAAGAAGAAAACACUAAGUGUGAUAGUAGUAUGAAGGAGCUUGUAGGAAGGGUUUAAUUUAUUUUAGAGAUUAAGUUCUUUUUGAGGGCUUUAGAAGCAUUGAUUCAUAUUAAAAUAAUAAAUGUGCUAAUUAUAGUUGAAUCGUUUCAACUCAUUAAGCCAGUACCGCAAGACCUCUCAUUAGCCAUGCGACAUGGGUGGUUAAGAAUGAUUAUGGGUAGUGUCCAAGGACUCCAAUAGUCAAUCAGCUGGUGCACGGCUGGGCUAGCCUUGAAUAACAUCACAAAGCAAUAGAUCCUUCUGGCAGCAUCCUUCUCCCUAAAUCCUGCCCCCAGCCCCUUAAGUGUUCAAUGCCCUUAGGUUUUCUGCCUCUUAACACCUCUAAGAGGUUUCCCUGGCCAGUUACCUUAAGAAGGAUCAAGUUAAUGAGCUGUGCUUUAUGAUGGCACUUGCACCAUCCUGUUAUAAUAAUUUAUUUAGAUUUCUCUCCCUACUAAACUGUAAAUUCUAGUCAAUAAUUUUUAUUGAAUUAAAUAAUGUAUAAAGAAUGCUAUAAAUAACUUAUACUAGUUUAUCUAAUUCAAAGUCAUUAAAAUUUAAUAAACUAGAUUGGAAGUUCCUGGUAGACAGAGUAAGUAUUAUUUAAGUUGCAGCCCCGGUAUAUAAGACAAUAUCUGACACAAAAUGGUCCCUUAACAAAUAGUGAAGAAACAGUGGUGAUGGUCUCUUACCUGCAAAGGAGCAAGCUUUAUGGGAGAAUUUUUUUUUUUUUUUUUUUAGAGAUGGAGUCUUGCUGUGUUGCCUAGACUGGACUUGAACCUGGGCUCAAGCGAUCUUCCCACCUCAGCCUCCUGAGUAGCUGAGACUCCAGGUGCAUGCCACUGCACCUUUAUGAGAGAAUUCUGACCUUAGAGGGAGUAGACUGUUAGAUGGGCAUCUUUCCACUUGCCCCAGGGUUUUGGCCUCUCACUGGGAGCACCAAAAAGGGAAACACUCGUGUGAGUGACCCCCUUUAACUAAGACCCAGCAGAGCCAUGGCAAACAGCUGGAUUACAGUAGUGAGUCUCCUGUCACUGGAAGUGUCCAAGGAAAGUCAGGUUGCAUCAAAGUUGCUGGAUCAGGGUCCCUUUUUGAGUGGAUUACACGAGCUCCGUGGUUCUGUGGAUGGGGCACUUAUUUACUCCUUCAUUCAGAGUGACAAAAGUGAACUGUCAUUGUCAUCUAUCCAUGGCUCAGCAUUACCAAAGAAGCAAUGAGAACAUUUUCCAACGCAGAGCGUGAAAUGCUUGUCGCAGCUAGCUGGAAUGCUCAAGCACACAAAUCAAUUUCCAUGUUAAUUAGUCAGUAUCUGCUGUACACCCUGAAAAUGGAAAGAGCCACAAAACCAAAGUUACAUAACUAACUUUCAGCUGCAGCCUGUGUCACCUGAAAAUCCUUUUAGUAACUUUGUUCUGAGGAUGUCUUGCCUGUCUGAGAAACUGUGAACAAACAGAUUCAGGUAAACAAUAAGAAAAGAUUUUGAAACCUCUCUUCCUGUAAGAGGAUGUAAUUUGGCUGCAUGUUGUAUAUUUACUUGAGUUGAUUGAAAGAGGAAAAAAGAAACUCAUCUGGUACCAUGCAAAUCAGCUCGUGAAACAUCCAGAGGGUGUGAUAUUUUUACAAAACAGUCCAGCCGGUUUACACUGUUGGUUUAGGAAAAAAUAUAUUCUUUCACCUUCAUUCCUAAGUUAAAGGUUUGUUUUGAAAAUGGAAGGAAACUCAUGCUUCACUCGUGCUCCUGUCCAGCAUUGACAUGGAGGCAGUGGAAAAAAGAAAGAGAGGAAGAGGUGAUGAAGGUACAUUUAAAGAUGUGAUGCUGAUCUUGAGGGCGCAGCGGGGAAGAGAGUCUGCUUCCCUCUGUCUCAACCCUCUCUCAGCUUCUUACCGCUUCAUCCUCUGCCAGUAGGGACAACAUCUUCCUCAAAGCCUUUUUAAGUAGGAGGUUUGAGCAAGGGAUAACUAUGCACACAUCCGGAGGACUGUGGGGAGGGGUGUGUGUGUGCACUGAGAAUAACCAUGUAAACUCUAAGGAUUUUCCAAGUUCUAACAUUUUUAUUUCAUCAGAGAGAGAAGAUUUUCUUAAAGGACUGUGAGGACACCAUAGAGGGUGAUAUGGUUUGGCUGUGUCCCCACCCAAAUCUCAUCUUGAUUGAAUUCCCACAUGUUGUGGGAGGGACCUAGUGGGAGGUAAUUGAAUCAUGGGGGCGGCUUCCCGUAUACUGCUCUUGUGGUAGUCAAUAAGUCUCACGGGAUCUGAUGGUUUUAUAAGUGGUUUCUGCUUUGGCUUGGCUCUCAUUCUUUCUCGUCUGUCACAAUGUAAGAUAUGCCUUUCACCUUCCGUCAUGAUUGUGAGACCUUCCCAGCCAUGUGAAGCUGUGAGUCCAUUAAACUUCUUUUUUCUUUAUAAAUUA